rnacentral:rRNA from 1 species
CGGCACGGUGAGUAACACGUAUCCAACCUGCCGUCUACUCUUGGACAGCCUUCUGAAAGGAAGAUUAAUACAAGAUGGCAUCAUGAGUCCGCAUGUUCACAUGAUUAAAGGUAUUCCGGUAGACGAUGGGGACGCGUUCCAUUAGAUAGUAGGCGGGGUAACGGCCCACCUAGUCUUCGAUGGAUAGGGGUUCUGAGAGGAAGGUCCCCCACAUUGGAACUGAGACACGGUCCAAACUCCUACGGGAGGCAGCAG